rnacentral:rRNA from 1 species
AUUGAACGCUGGCGGCAUGCCUUACACAUGCAAGUCGAACGGCAGCACGGGGGCAACCCUGGUGGCGAGUGGCGAACGGGUGAGUAACGCAUCGGAACGUGUCCUCUUGUGGGGGAUAACCAGUCGAAAGAUUGGCUAAUACCGCAUGAGAUCGCCAGAUGAAAGCGGGGGACCGCAAGGCCUCGCGCGAGCGGAUCGGCCGAGGCCGGAUUAGUUAGUUGGUGGGGUAAAAGCCUACCAAGGCGACAAUCCGUAGCUGGUCUGAGAGGACGACCAGUCACACUGGGACUGAGACACGGCCCAGACUCCUACGGGAGGCAGCAGUGGGGAAUUUUGGACAAUGGGCGAAAGCCUGAUCCAGCCAUGCCGUGUGUGUGAAGAAGGCCUUCGGGUUGUAAAGCACUUUCGGACGGAACGAAAUCCCGCGGACGAACAUUCCGCGUGGAUGACGGUACCGUAAGAAGAAGCACCGGCUAACUACGUGCCAGCCGCCGCAGUAACAC